GACGAACGCUGGCGGCGUGCUUAACACAUGCAAGUCGAACGGAAAGGCCCUGCUUUUGUGGGGUGCUCGAGUGGCGAACGGGUGAGUAACACGUGAGUAACCUGCCCUUGACUUUGGGAUAACUUCAGGAAACUGGGGCUAAUACCGGAUAGGAGCUCCUGCUGCAUGGUGGGGGUUGGAAAGUUUCGGCGGUUGGGGAUGGACUCGCGGCUUAUCAGCUUGUUGGUGGGGUAGUGGCUUACCAAGGCUUUGACGGGUAGCCGGCCUGAGAGGGUGACCGGCCACAUUGCGACUGAGAUACGGACCAGACUCCUACGGGAGGCAGCAGUGGGGAAUAUUGCACAAUGGGCGGAAGCCUGAUGCAGCAACGCCGCGUGCGGGAUGACGGCCUUCGGGUUGUAAACCGCUUUCGCCUGUGACGAAGAGUGAGUGACGGUAAUGGGUAAAGAAGCACCGGCUAACUACGUG
rnacentral:rRNA from 1 species